UAGACAGCUUCCCUCACAUCUGUCUGACUGAACCUGAUGACUCUUCACCUCUGUGUCCUCUCACAGAGAGAAGAUGAUCCUGCUGCUCCUCAUCCUCACCUCCUCAGCAGCAGCACUUGAAGUGAAGGAGACACAGAGCUCCUAUCAGGCAGAGGAGAACCACCACAUCACACUGGAGUGGACGUUCCCCACAGACACUCAGACUAAGACUGAGGGGAUUGAUGUCUACUGUGAUCAUUUAACCAAACAGAAAGAAUCAGUCCUGUAUCUGGUCCAUGCUGGUGUUGAGCUCUCAGAGUCUGUGGAUGAAGGUUUUUCAGGAAGAGUCCAGAGUGACACAGACGCCCUCAGAGAAGGACGAAUCAGACUUCAUCUGUCCAGACUCAGGACUGAAGACUCUGGUCUGUAUGUGUGUGAUGUGAGGACAGCUUCUGGUUCUGGUUCUUCCAGCUGUGAGCUCACAGUCUCUGCAGCUGCUGCUCAGACACACACUGACAGACCAGCUGUGAGAUCACCAGCAGACCCAGGAGGACGAGCAGGACUCAGCAUUGGCCUGAUAGCAGGAGCAGUAGCAGCUGUCCUGAUUGGCUGAGAUCAGUCUGACAGAAGGAGUAGGACUGAGUAGGACCCUGUGUCACUCUGGACUCUGCAUGGCUGUGACACACUGACAACACAACAGACACACUCGGCAUGCAGCGCUCAGUCCUGCUCGGCUCUCUGCUCCAGCAUGUUGCGGCUUGUUGUACUUGUUCCUGUCAGACAGCUGUACGUGCAGGUACAGUUAUGUUGCCUCAGGUGCAAACAUCCAGGACUUCAUAACUGAACAGACAUGGCUGCCAGAUUCAUGUGGGCAGUAUUCACAGCAGCUUUCAGCCAAUCAGAUGAACCGGCCCGGGCAUGUGCUGCUGAUUCUCUGUAUACAUGAUUUCUAUUGAAGCUGUUUCACAGUCAGAUGCAGGCUGUGUGAGCUCGUUGAAGGGGUUUGUGUGUCUGUUUGUGAAGAUGUUCAGAGUUCACAGUCACAAGGUAAGAGCCAGUGUGUUGUUGUUGUGUUAGUGUGUGUGUGUGUGUGAUGAAGAACAGUGUAAGCUGUGGCU
ensembl:lncRNA